rnacentral:rRNA from 1 species
AGAGUUUGAUCCUGGCUCAGGAUGAACGCUGGCGGCGUGCCUAAUACAUGCAAGUCGAGCGGUAACACUUCGGGUGACGAGCGGCGGACGGCUGAGUAACACGUAGGAAUGUACCCCAAAGUGAGGGAUAACUGCUCGAAAGAGUAGCUAAUACCGCAUGUGGUCUUCGGAUUAAAGCUUUAUGUGCUUUGGGAACAGCCUGCGUAAGAUUAGCUUGUUGGUGAGGUAACGGCUCACCAAGGCGACGAUCUUUAGCUGGUCUGAGAGGAUGAUCAGCCAGACUGGGACUGAGAACGGCCCAGACUCCUACGGGAGGCAGCAGUAGGGAAUUUUCCACAAUGGGCGAAAGCCUGAUGGAGCAACGCCGCGUGCAGGAUGAAUGCCUUCGGGUUGUAAACUGCUUUUAUAUGUGACGAUUUUGACGGUAGCAUAUGAAUAAGGAUCGGCUAAUUCCGUGCCAGCAGCCGCGGUCAUACGGAAGAUCCAAGCGUUAUCCGGAAUUACUGGGCGUAAAGAGUUGCGUAGGUGGCAUAGUAAGUUGGUAGUGAAAUAGUAUGGCUCAACCAUACGCCCAUUACCAAAACUGCUAAGCUAGAGGGCGAGAGAGGUCACUGGAAUUCUCAGUGUAGGAGUGAAAUCCGUAGAUAUUGGGAGGAACACCGAUGGCGUAGGCAGGUAACUGGCUUGUUCCUGACACUAAGGCACGAAAGCGUGGGGAGCGACCGGGAUUAGAUACCCCGGUAGUCCUGGCCCUAAACGGUGCGCAUUUGCUGUAAGAGGAAUCGACCCCUUUUGUGGCGAAGCUAACGCGUUAAAUGCGCCGCCUGGGAAGUACGGCCGCAAGGUUAAAACUCAAAGAAAUUGACGGGGGCCUGCACAAGCGGUGGAGUAUGUGGCUUAAUUCGAUGCAACGCGAAGAACCUUACCUGGCCUUGACAUGCAAGUAGUAGAACCCUGAAAGGGGGACGAGAUAGCAAUAUCAGCUUGCACAGGUGCUGCAUGGCUGUCGUCAGCUCGUGUCGUGAGAUGUUGGGUUAAGUCCCGCAACGAGCGCAACCCCUGUGUCCUGUUGCCACCCCUUAACUGGGAGCACUCUGGACAGACUGCCUCGCUUCAACGAGGAGGAAGGUGGGGAUGACGUCAAGUCAGCAUGGCCCUUACGGCCAGGGCUGCACACGUACUACAAUGCCCGGCACAGAGGGGAGCAAGACCGUUAGGUGGAGCAAAUCCCAGAAAACCGGGCCCAGUUCAGAUUGUCGUCUGCAACUCGACGGCAUGAAGCUGGAAUCGCUAGUAAUGGCGCAUCAGCUACGGCGCCGUGAAUACGUUCCCAGGCCUUGUACACACCGCCCGUCACAUCAUGAAAGCCGGUUGUACCCGAAGUCGCCCCUCAAAAGGUGCCGAAGGUAUGGCUGGUGAUUGGGAUGAAGUCGUAACAAGGUAACC